GGACGGGUGAGUAAUGUCUGGGAAACUGCCUGAUGGAGGGGGAUAACUACUGGAAACGGUAGCUAAUACCGCAUAACGUCGCAAGACCAAAGAGGGGACCUUCGGGCCUCUUGCCAUCAGAUGUGCCCAGAUGGGAUUAGCUUGUUGGUGGGGUAACGGCUCACCAAGGCGACGAUCCCUAGCUGGUCUGAGAGGAUGACCAGCCACACUGGAACUGAGACACGGUCCAG
rnacentral:rRNA from 1 species